rnacentral:miRNA from 1 species
CACCGUCACUAUCAUUGUCCU